rnacentral:lncRNA from 1 species
CACUGUCCUUAGAUAUUCACUUACUGUGUCCGGCUGUGAGCCAAAGGGACAAGGUUCCUACCAUCGUGGAGCUCAGAUUUUAGAAGAGAUUUUAGACAGCAGAAAGGACAAAGGAGCCAAACCAGGCUGAUGUGCAUCCUGAAAGCCUUUCUGCUUCAUGACGAAAUCUCCUCCAUCACUGCUGGCUUUUGGGAGAUGAUCACCCCACAGUUCCUGGAGGAGAGAGAGGGGAGAGAGAGAGAGAGAGAAAGAUUGGCUCCACGGUGAUCAUUCAACGUCACAUACUACUCAUAUUGCAAGAUGCCACUCAUUUGCCAAGUGAAAAUUGAUUAGAAAUAUUUGCUUGUCUUGUGGAACACUUGCGGGACAAGUUAUUCAUGAUCCAAGGUUUAACUGAUGUCAAAAUAACUAGUUACUUUAUAAAUACAGAUUUUUAUUUUCUUCUGUAUUUUCAGAAGUUCCCACAAACAACAUUUAUAAAUAUGAUCUCAAAUAUAUUAUAUAUUUAAAUAUAUAUAUCAUGUACUAUUUGACUUUGAAAAUAAAUGGAAACCUUACUUGUUACCUAAUGCAUAAUUAGAUAUAAAAUAGAUAUGUUGAGAGAGAGAGAGCUCCAUGGCAAAAAACUGAAAGAAUAAACAAAAUAUUGACAAAAUUAAUGUUGCAGUCAGGGUUUGCAAGGGAAUGGAUUUAAUAAAGGACACAUAACUUAUGACAUUAUUUUAUAAUAUUCACCCAAAGAAGGGGCUGGGGAUUUAGCUCAGUGGCACAGCGCCUGCCUGGCAAGCGCAAGGUCGUGAGUUUGAUUCCUGGUACCGGAAAAAGAAACAAAAAACAAAAAAAAUAUAUUCACCCAAAGAGUCAAAUGCAAAAAAGUGC